CUAAAAGAGCUGGAAGCUAUGAUGCACGAGCACCUGGAUCUGCGCACAAGGUGCAUGGAGUAACUUGACUACGAAAACUCAGUAAGUAAAUAAAGUACAUAAAGUCUGAGUGCAGUGACGACCAUUUAAAAAUCAUUUUAUCAGGAAAUCUCAACAGAUAUAUCAAGUCCAAAAUCUGCAGUUCAAUAAUCAAUUUAACUCGUAAAAACUCAAGUCUUAGUUAAAAAUCCUUCCAAACAUUUAUUCAACAAUUUCGGUGGAGGCUCAGUAAAUAAGAAGAGAGAAAACAUAGAAAACAUCAUAAACAGGCCCCUUGGGCAAGAUAUCACUCAUAAGUAUGGCCCCUCGGGAAAGCCUCUCAUUCACUCGUGACUCAGCUUUCAUCACACAGUACUCACACUCAGCACUUCGGCUCAAUAAAUAUAUCAUAAUAAUAACAAUAAUAAUAAUAAUCGCUACAGCGUGCAGUCGAAUCCAAUAUAUAUAUAGUCGACUAUGCUCAUUAAGGGUGUACAGACUCCGGAGGGGCUCCUUCAGCCUAAGCGUAAUAUUGCUGCGGUACGCAGCCCGAUCCAAUAUAUCGCUGCGACGUACAUCCCAAUCCCUACAUAUAUAUAUAUAUAUAUAUAUAUAUAUAUAUAUAUAUAUAUAUAUAUAUAUACAUAUAUAUAUUGCUACGAUAUACAACCCGAUCCAUAAAUAUAUAUUAUAGUCCUUGACCUCUCUCUCAGUCAUUAACCUCACAACCGCUCCGGUAUUUCAGUAAAAAUCAGGGAACUCAACCCAAACUAUUUUGUAAUUUUAAAAUAGAGUAAUAAAACAAUAUUUAAAAAUAACAGGUAAACAUGACUGAGGUUAUGCUUUUGAAUCAAAACCGUAUAAGGAAAAUCAGUAAAACACCCCUAAUGGUCUAAAUAGCUCGACACAAAGGCCCCAAACAUGGCAUUCAACCCGGAUUAACAAAACAACUUCUAAACUCAUGGAUAUCAUAUGUAGUAUAUCAAAAUAUACAACUAUAUAGUCGCCAAGGGACAUACCAAGUCACAAUCCCUACGGGUUCUCGCCCGUCACCUAGCAUGUGUGUCAUCUUAUUUAUCAAAACAGUACGAAAUACCGGGGUUUCAUACCCUCAAUACAAAUGUACAAUCAUUACUUACCUCAAAUCGGGUGAAAUACUACUCUGUGAUGCCCUUGCCUCUCAAAUCGGCCUCAACUCACUUCGAAGCUAUCCAAAAACAACAUCACAAUAUCAAUAUAUGCUAUGGAUGAAGCCCAUGCGAAAAUAAUCAAAUUACAAUACAAAUCCCGAAAUUGGCCAAACCCGACCCUCAGGCCCACGUCUUGGAAUCCGAUAAAACUUAUGUCAAUAGAACCCUUAUCCUCUCACGAUUUCCAUACAUACCAAGAAUACCAAAAUCUGACCACAAAUGGCUUCUCUAAUCCCUAAAUUUAGAUCUCCAAUUUAUAAGCCCUAAACUCCCAAUUUUAACCACUAAUUACCACAAAUUUCAAGCUUAAAUAGUCAUAAACCAUCAUAGAAACAAGUUUAGGGUCCAAAAACCUUACCUCCACGAAAUCCUAUUGAAUUCCCUCUUCAAUUUGCUCUCUCAAGCUCAAACCCCUAUGUGAAAAUGGUGGAAUAACCAAAAAUUUGCGAAGGAGGAUUAUAUACUUUCCGACACAGGGUUUUUGCACAUGAGGUCCCUUUACCGCAACUACGGUAACGCUUCUUUGGCCAAACAACCGUUUUACGGUUUCCACUUAAGUCUUUCAAAACCGCAGCUGUGCAUCCUGUUCUGCUCUUGCGGUCUCGCAAGUGCGCUGAGCCUUUCGCACCUGUGCCUUCUGACCAUCCUUGCCCAUGGUUGCAUCUACGGCUUCUCUUCCACUUCUGUGAUCCCGCACCUACAAUUCCCAAUCCGCAGGCGCGGUUAUGACAACAAAAUCAGCAGCUUCAGCUGCACAAUUAUCACACUUCCUUUUUUGCCAUCCACAACCUGGUGAAGGGCAUAGAUAAGUGAGUUUUUUCAAUUAAAGAACAAUCGAAACGGGAUUCAAUUAUUAAAAAGAAUUUCAGAGUCGCCACCUGAGAGGUUUAUGGUGUCCCAAGUCAUCGGUUAGAAUCCCGCAUCGAGGAAAAAGUGACUCUGUUUAAUAGUCCGCGAACCAGAAAUCCGAGUAUGGAAUUAUAUUAACUCGGGAGAAGGUGUUAGUCAUUCCCGAAUUUCGUGGUUCUAGCACGGUCGCUCAACUGUCAUAUUUGGCUUAAAUUAUCUGAUUUUAGAACAUGCAACGAGAAAUUCGAGUAAGGAAUUCUGUUAACCCGGGAGAAAGUGUUAGGCAUUCCCGGGUUUCGUGGUUCUAGUACAGUCGCUCAACUGUCAUAUUUGGCUAAAAUUAUUUGAUUUUAGAACAUGUUCUAACUUGGGUACUUUUUGACUUUAAACCGCUUUUAUCAUUAUUUUAAGAAGAAUUGCAACGUUGUUAAAACGUGUCUUAAACCACGUCACAUAAAUGCACCUGUGAUUUUUGACACAUUUCAACUUCGUUGGGAUUUGGAUUUGAAUCGCAUAAAUGUGCACCCGAAUUUAGGAAAGUAAUAUUAUUAAGCACACACCUAAUUAUGUGUUUGCAGCUUUGCGAGGGCCAUAGAAAUUUCACUAAAUGGCACGCCUCGACUUCUAAGGAUUCAAAAUUAAUUAAAUGAGGGCCAUGAGCUUAGGAGUUUUAUUUGGCAUGGCACGCCUCCAUUUAUUUCAAAAGAUUGGACUCCACUCAAAGCCAACUAUGAAUGUUCGUAAUUAUUAACGGCCUAAUCCUGUUACUAGCAUUCCAAGCCAAUCAGAUAAUAUAUAUAGUAUACAUGAAUUCAAAUCUCAUUUGUGAUGCCCGAAAAAUGGCAACUACCUCGAUUCCAAACUUUAAAACAAACUACUAAAGCUGCCCCUCACAAAUUGAGAUUAGCUAAAUCAUGUUCAACCUAAACAUACAAAUAUGAGAAAGUCAAAUUGAUAUCAGUUUUGAAUUAAGCUACAGCGUCAGUGAUUUCUUAGUCUUGUGACCAUAUCAUAUUAUAAUACUGAAUACGAUCUAUAGUUACGCUACAACCAAUUUACGUUAGCUCUAACUCUGACUUCAGGUAUAACUUGUUCCAAGAAUUCAUUGUUUGGGACAGCAUAUUUUAAUGUCUGGUGAAACGAGAAACAGGGAACCUUGUCCACAUAAAACAGUAAACAACUCCAAAUUCUUAGAUUCGAUAGUCUAAAUUUUAACAAGAUAAAAUGAACAAUCAAUAUUGUAGACUGAUGAACAGAACCAUCCAAGCAUAUCAAACAAAAUUAAACAUGAAAACUCAUCACAAAUAUUCGAAUAAUUUGGUAAAAGGAAAACGGAAGAACCUCUGUUUGCUUCCAAGUAAUUGAAAUGGAUACUGUAUCGACGAAUCCAAAAUUGCAAUUCCAAAUAUGCAGUAGAAAAUGACCCGAACGGAACACGGACUCGAUGAUCUCGAACGGGACGGCACAAAGCUGGUAACCAGAAUUUCUGACUGGUUCAAGUUCGAGCUUCGAAUCUGGAAAUGGUGGUUGUUUUCAGGUGGUCAAGCUGUUGUUUCCGGCGAGUCUGAGGCUAGCAGAGGCCUUGUGUGUGCGUGUGUUUUCCGGCGAGCUGGGGUCGUCUGGUUCGUCGAAGAAGACGAUCACCAGGGGGUGGGGGUCUUUUUCCAAAAGCUGCGCAGCUUUUUUCGUUCUCUAUCGUGUAUUGUGUGUGAAUUUUUGUGAAGAAGAAG
rnacentral:lncRNA from 1 species